rnacentral:rRNA from 1 species
GAUGAACGCUGGCGGCGUGCUUAACACAUGCAAGUCGAACGGAAAGGCCCAAGCUUGCUUGGGUACUCGAGUGGCGAACGGGUGGGUAACACGUGGGUGAUCUGCCCUGCACUUCGGGAUAAGCCUGGGAAACUGGGUCUAAUACCGGAUAGGACCACAUUUUGGAUGGUGUGGUGGAAAGUUUUUCGGUGUGGGAUGAGCUCGCGGCCUAUCAGCUUGUUGGUGGGGUAAUGGCCUACCAAGGCGUCGACGGGUAGCCGGCCUGAGAGGGUGUACGGCCACAUUGGGACUGAGAUACGGCCCAGACUCCUACGGGAGGCAGCAGUGGGGAAUAUUGCACAAUGGGCGCAAGCCUGAUGCAGCGACGCCGCGUGGGGGAUGACGGCCUUCGGGUUGUAAACUCCUUUCGCUAGGGACGAAGCGCAAGUGACGGUACCUGGAGAAGAAGCACCGGCUAACUACGUG